GCGUGUCUUGCCGGGGCUGUUGCCGCCGCCGCCGCUGCCGCUGCCGCCGCUGCCAGAGGCAGAUCCGAGAUAUAAAAGACCUGGCCGGGCACCGGCCGCCGCUCCAGUCCGUGUCGUGGCGAGAGGCCCGCAGCUGAGCGGCAGCAGCGCGGGGCUGGCCGAGGGCAACCCCAAUGCGUGGACUAUCCGGCGCUGCAGCAUGCUGGAGCUACAGUUCAGCUGAAGGGAGUUUGCACACGGCCGGCUGGGCUGGACUGCAGCGCUGCCGUUCCUUAUGAAGAAGGCACAAACUUGGAUUAUCACUUGCUUUUGUCUUCAGCUACUCCUCCUUAAUCCUCUUGUCAAAGCCCAGAGUUCCUGCGGGAAUCCGGUGACAGAUGAUGUAAAUGACAUUGCAAAAUUGGUUGGAAAUCUCCCAAAUGAUUAUCUGAUAACCCUUAAAUAUGUCCCGAAGAUGGAUAGCCUGCCUAAUCACUGUUGGUUGCAUUUGAUGGUGCCUGAAUUUUCGAGGAGUCUACAUAAUCUUCUCCAGAAAUUUUCAGAUAUUUCCGAAAUGUCUGAUGUUUUAAGCAACUAUUCAAUCAUUAAUAACCUCACAAGGAUAAUCAAUGAUCUUAUGGCAUGUCUAGCUUUUGAUAAAAAUAAGGAUUUUAUAAAAGAAAACGGUCACCUUUAUGAAGAAGAUCACUUCAUUCCUGAGAAUUUUUUUAGUCUCUUUAAUAGUACCAUUGAGGUCUACAAGGAGUUUGCAGACUCACUGGAUAAGAAUGACUGCAUUAUGCCUUCAACUGUAGAAACACCAGAGAAUGAUUCCAGAGUCGCUGUCACAAAAACAAUUUCGUUUCCUCCUGUUGCUGCCAGCUCCCUUAGGAAUGACAGCAUUGGCAGUAACACUAGCAGUAACAAAGAGGCACUUGGCUUCAUUAGCAGCUCCAGCCUGCAAGGGAUCAGCAUAGCAUUGACAUCAUUGCUGUCUCUUCUUAUUGGCUUUACUUUGGGAGCCAUAUACUGGAAGAAAACACAUCCUAAAUCCAGACCAGAAAGUAAUGAAACUACACAGUGUCAUGGCUGUCAAGAGGAAAAUGAGAUAAGGUAUAAAGUUCCAUUUCACACAUAUAUAUAUAGAAAUGUAAGAUUAUCUUUGAGAGAUUCUUUCUGAAAGUUCCUCUCUAGCUCUCAAAAAUAUAAAGCAAAUGAACAAACAAACAAAAUUGUCAGACUUUAAGCUUUUUUAAGGUUUUUUAAGGUUUUUAGGGUUUAAACCUUUUACACCUAACACAUUCUUCAAACAUUUUUUCAUCACAUACAGUUCAUAUAAAAGAAAACUGCAUAUUUACCAAGCAUAUGAUUUGUAAAGAAUAACUCAUCCAGCACCUCAUCCUUGCAGGUGUUAAAACUUGCAAAACCAAACAUGAAUCUUCCUUCUGACUUCACAGGUAGUAUGAAAAAUGACUUUAUAGGAAGAAAAGAGGGUAGAGGAAAUAGAACAAUUGGGUAGAUGCAGGAGAGGACCCGAAUAAGAAAAUGUAAAGAGGUUACAUAUUCAGUGUGCAGUUUUAUUAAAUAUAUGGCAUAAAUUGUUUUUUUUUUCUCCCUUCUCCUUGAGAAAUUUUGAAAAUCUAUCAACCUGUAGGAAGAAUCUAUUAGCAAACAUAAGUUUUAAUGCUUCUGGUUCAAUUACAAAUGUUUCUUUUGUUACAUGUAGGUGCUUUUAUGUUAACUGAUAAAGCCUUCCAUUCUUGUUCCUUGAAACUCUAGUAACAGUACCUACAGUACUAGCACUGUAGUAAUGAAGUACCUAUUUUUUAUUUCAGUAUGUUGCAGCAAAAAGAGAAAGAACAUCUACAAGUGUAGCUGUUGCUUUUUCUCCCUCAACACUGUUACUGUUUCAGGUAAUGGCAGGUAACAGUUCCAUGUUUGCUUCAUAAAUGAAGCAGCUUUAAGCACAUUCAUAUUCCUUCUGGAGUGACAGACUGAGUCUGCAUCUGUUGUUGCUGCCCAUGACUCCAUAGACGUGACAUAGAAAUGAGGACAAUUUGUGUUUCUUACUGUAAAACCAACACUGAAUUGAACAACAAGAAGAAGAGUGUGCACUUAACAGGACUAUAUCUUAUGUGAAUAUCUACUUUGUGUGGCAUUUGGGGUUUUUAAUUGCAUUAGUACUUGUGUCUGACUGACAAACAAAGUACAUGUCUGGAACAAAAAACAUCUUUCAAAUGCCUCCAACUAUAUGGAAUAAUUGAAAAUCAUAAAUACCUUUGCAUCCUUAAUUUAAGUUCUGUGUCCUCUACCUUGCCUUGGUGUCUUCAAAUGGAGUUCUUUGAACUGAGAGAAAAUGCAGAAAUGGAUACAGAUAACAUACUCUUCAAUAUUGUAUAUAAAACUUGAAAGUAAAGUCGUGACAUGGACCAGUUUACUAGCCUUUUACUUAUAAGGAACUAGGUUUAUUCCUGGCAAAAGUCAUGUGUACAGUGACACGUGGCCUCUGCUGGAUGCCAAGUGGCUACAUGCCCACCACAGAAAGCCUCAAGAAUUCAUCAGCUUUGGUGGUGUCUGCUCAGGAGAAGCAAAUACUGGAUGAAGACAAAGUAAACAGGACGUUGCAGUACAUCAUAGAGCUUUGAAGCAUUAGGAGUAACUGCUGGAGAUGUGUACACUGGUGCAAUUUCCAGCCAUGCCAAGAGAAGGGAGAGUAAAGAGUCUGAAUUGCGUUCAAACAUCAUAAUAAAGACAAACCCAUAAAAUGCAUUUUAAAUGCUGAAGAUGCAUGCCAUUGAUACCUUGUUUUCAAAUGUAUAGCAUAGAAAAUCUGAAAGAUCCUGAGAGUGUAUUUAGCUUUUACUUACAUCAGCUGUAAUUAAUAUUUGCAUUGUGUUUUAAAUGAUUAGAAAGCUUUACUAUCCUGACAUUCUCCACUCCUAAAGUUAAUUCUCUUGAAACAAAAGAGAAAGGCUUUAAUUUCCACUUGUCUUCUACAACUACUGCUGCUGUAGCAUCCAUGAAAUCUUGUACAGGUUUGAUGUACAGGCAUUUUCAAGAAAAUCCCAAAAAUACUGUGAUAAAAGUUACAAGUACAGUUGUGCAUCUUUUCAUCCUGACUCUUUCCAGACAAUGGUUAUGAAUCAUUUAUCUGUAUUAGAGUUUUCUAUUUUAGAACGUAAAGGUGGUUCACUUUAGAUGACAAACGGCCAUCUGUCAUCAAACUGGCUAUGUCAGUAAGAAUUUUCAUUUGAGUUACUUGAAAAUAUUAAAAAAAUACAUAAAACAAUGAACACCUUACUAAUGUUUUCCAGAAAGUUGGAGUUCUCUUUAAAGUAUAGUCUAACUUAAUUGUAGAAUCAUAAAAUAUCCUGAGUUGGAAAGGACCCCUGAGGAUCAUCAAGUCCUGACUCCACACAGGGCAACUUAAGAGGUAAACAAUAUAUCUAAUACCAUUGUCCAAGAUCUACUGGUACACUUGACAGGCUUAAUUUUUAAAGAAUUUUUGUGGAAUUUUUAAUCAUCUGAUAAAUUUUCUGAGAGCCAUGCAUAGAAAGAAUAUGACAUAUGUAUUAUAUAAUGUGUGUGUGUGUGUGUGUGUGUGUGUGUGUGUGCGUGUGCGCGCGCGUGUAUUAUUGGUAAAAUUGAUUUGGCUUUCAUACUCACUGAGAAGAAGAAACCUCAGGACUUUACUGUGAUGACAGAGCUUAUAUGUGCAUUUAGCUACUUUGCUUGGAAUUUUGACACUACUGAGGUCAAUGGUGAAACUUUUCUUGAAUUCACUGAUACCAGGAUUUGACCACAUAGAUCUAGUUUUUUCUUUUCCUAUAGUAAGGCUUGCCUGAGUGUCAGAAAAUAAUAUUCGACCCUCCCCAGGUGUCAGAAAAGUGUUCUCCAAUCUCAUUCAGUUGGUAUAAGUUAGCACAGUUCCAUUAAUGUUAACAGAGCUUUGAGGUUUUUAUCAUCCAAGGAACUUAGCUUAAACUAGAUAAAAAGAAGCCUGGUGAGAUAAUCAGGCCUUCAUUUUUAUUCAGAAGAUGCAGGACCACUCACCAUUUAAUGAGAAAUAAUCAAGGUUACUCAUCACUUCUACAAAUGAGGCUCAUUGCAAAUUUUAGAUCUGCAAAAAUUUGCUGGUAUAUAGUUCUUUACUCACUAGGCCUGCAAACUAAUUAAGAGUUACCCUGAAAGAAAUGUCAGCAUGACCUAACUAAUAGGAAAUUUGCACCUUAUUGGUAAUGUGAAGAAUAACUGUAUGUACGUUUUGACAGAGCUGAAAAGUAUCAACCAACAAUAAGUAGAAGCCGCUAUCUUUACAUAUUUUACAAAAAAAGUAUUUCACAUUGCUACUUUGUGUGUUCUCAAAGUGAGUUUAUAUAUUCUAAGUUUUACAGUAUUUUUCAAAGAUACAUUUAAACAAAUAUUUGUAUUUAUUAACAUUCUUUGUUCAUAAGAAUAUUAGUUUUCCUAUAUGCAUAUUUUCCAGAAAAUCAAAUACACAAUAACAUUGCACACUGGUGUGCCUUCAAUUAUACUUCAAAACACAUGGUGUUUUAGAGUCCUUAGUAUACCGUCUACCCAUACAAUAGUAAAAGAUAAAAUGACAGGUUUAAAUGGAAACUUACACUAAACGGAGAUAGAUGGCGACAAAAUAUUCAUGUUCCAAGAGUAAAAUUUUAAAAUAGUAGAUAUGUCACCUUCAUAUGUCACAUACUUUAAUCUCUGCUAUGGAGUAAAGCAAACUGAAGGCUACAUGCAAACUGAAAGAGAGUUCAUGUAUAUAAUUUCCAACCUGACAUCACAAUCUGUUCAGAUUUUGAAUAUGCACCGAACAUAGUACAACAGAGAGUAGUAGAACUGCUGUUAGAGCCCAUGAUUUCCCUGUUCUCCCUAUCUGUUUUUGAGAGAUUUAAACAAAAUAUUAGGUGGUCUCAGUCAUUUUGCAAGGCAGAAGGACAUUUCUGGACAUUUAUGAAUAUGAAUAUGAAUGGAUGGCAAGUGGAUGGCAGGGCACUUGAAAAUGUGAUCAUGAAAUUAUUUCAAGGUUUCUGUGCCCAAUUUGUCUAUCCACCAAGGAGGCCCUUAUUUUACAUGUAUUGAAAUUUCAAAAAACUACUGAUUUGUGAGAUAUCUUUGAAACCAAUGAAAAUCAUAUAAGUUACUAUUCUGUGAAAGUAGUCGUGGCAGAAAUAGUCAAUUAAUUGCUUCUUUAUCCAGCUGUAGCCUAUCUGACUUCUGGAUAGUGAUCACUUCUUCAGUCUUUAUGGAUAAACUUUGCAUUAGGUCAGAAAUGAACACCCUUUCUCUUAAAAUGAAUUUGGGGGAAAAAGUGAGUGUUGCUUUUUCUUUUUUUUAAUAUGAAAGUCAACCAAGUUUGGGUUUCAGAUGUCUAUCAUUUUGUGAGGAACUAACGUUUUUAGGUUUCCUUUGGCGUAGUUGAACUUUGCAUGCAAUUAAUUGUGGCCUUGUGACAACAAAAAGCAGAUAGUGAUAUACUGAGUAACUCAAUGUGCUAUUUUAGAUAUGUGUUUACUUGAAUAAAUAAAUGGUACUUAUUUAAUCACAAGGUCAUUGUAUAAGUAAGCUUAUGAACAACUAAUGUGCUAUACUAUGGAGUAUAUGUACAACCUGCACAUUUUUUAGAUUCUAUCUUCACCAGCUCUGUUUUCUCUGUUGCUCUCUGUAAUACGCUGAAACUAUUCAGUACACACAGUACAAAUAUUAAAUUGAAAAGCUAACCAUAUAUAUGAAGUACAGGUAUUUUGAGUUAGAUUUACAUUUAAGAAUUAUCCAACAUUCUUCAAUUCAGGAAUCUGAUAUCUAUUGAAUGCAGAUGUACAGUGAUGGUGGCAUGUUGCUAUUAUGUUAUUGAAGUGAUAGAACGCGGUAACUUCAGACUCUUUAGUGAUAGAGACACAGACAUUUGCUGGUUGUAUCAUGGGCAAAUUCAUUUAUCUCAAUGUAAAUGUCAGCACAGUCUUGCAUAGCUACAUUCUGACUGGCAGUAAUAAAAUUUAUGUAAUGUGGUGUGUAUGUAUAUACGUGUCCUCUUAAAGAUAGACAUUUUCCCUGAUCCUUUUUUUAUACCAGUUCAAAUUUGAAAUUUACAUUAUAUACAUAUACUUUAUUGUUCUAAAUAAAGAUAUUAUGCACUGCCAAACAA